rnacentral:ncRNA from 1 species
UAUAUAAAGAGUUUGAUCCUGGCUCCGAAUGAAUGCUAUUGGUUAAUUUUACACAUGCAAGUUAAACUAAUUGUUUAGCGUAAGGGUGAGUAAUACAUAAAAAUUAUUUUCAAGAAAAAAAGUUUAUGCAAGAUUAGGUUAUAAAAUAAAUUAAUUAAUUAUUUUAGCUGAUUAUCUUUAGCUGAUCUUUGAGGAUGAUCGGCCACAUUGGAAUUGAAAAACGGUCCAGACUAUUAUUAGGCAGCAGUGAAGAAUAUUAGACAAUGAGUGUAAACUUGAUCUAGUUAAACCAAUUAUGUGAUGAAGAUUUUUUAUUGUAAAGCAUUAAGUAUUGAAAAAUAAUGAUUUUAAAUAUUUUAGUCCUGGCUAAUUUCGUGCCAGCAGCCGCGGUAAAACGAGAAGGGCUAGUGUUAUUCAAACUUAUUGGGCGUAAAGAAUUAUUAGGUUGUAAAUUGAUAAAUUUUUUUAUUAAAUAGGUUUAUUCUAGUUGAUAAUAAUUAUAAAAAUUUACUUGAGUUAAAUAAAAAAAUAAAAAGGAUUUAGAAUUUUAAGUGUAACAGUAAAAUGUGUUGAUAUUUAAAAGAAUUUCAAAAGUAAAUACAAAAUCCUAAAAUAAACUGACACUUUUUGAUUAAAGUACAGGUAGCAAAAGGGAUUAGAUACCCCUGUAGUCUGUACUCUGAACUAUAAAUGUUAUUAAAUUAUUUUAAUAUAUUUUUAAUUAAACUAACGUAAAACAUUUCGCCUGGGAACUACGAUCGCAAGAUUAAAACUCAAAGGAAUUGACGGGAAUUCAAACAAGCAGUGGAGCAUGUGGUUUAAAUCGAAAAUACGCGCGAAACCUUACCAAUUUUUGUUUUUCAGGUGUUGCAUGGCUGUCGUCAGUCCGUGCUGUGAAGUGUUUGGUUUAUUCCACUAAACGGACGAAACUUUUUUGUUAACUAAAGCAUUUUAUUAAGGACAUCUUAAUAAAAAUAAAACGACGACAAGUCUUCAUGACCCUUAUAAAUUGGGCUACUUUCAUGUGCUACAAUAUUCUUUUCAGAUAAAAUAUUUUUUAAAAUUAAUUUAAAUAAAAAUAAAUAAGAAUUUUCAAAUUAUUUUCUGCAAAUCGAAAAUAUGAAGUUGAAAUUGCUAGUAAUCGUUUAUAAGAAUGAAACGGUGAAUAAGUUCUUGAAUUUUGUACACACCGCCCGUCACGCUAUGGGAAUCAUAUUUAUUUGAAGAUUUUACUUGCUUAAGUAAAUUUGAAAGUAAAAAGAAGACUAGAGUGAAGUCGUAACAAGGUAGCCGUAGGGGAACCUGUGGCUGGAAUAUAAAACAU